GACAAAGGGAGGAAGAAGAGGUCACAUUUGAGAAGCUGGCAACAAAUCUCUUUCAGCAAAUCAACUCAAAUUUCAUUAGAUUAGAACAAAAUAAGUGCUGCUGCAACUUUGGUUCUUUCACUUCUCUCUCCUAAUCUUGAUUUAAAAUCAAUUUUAAAGGUCACAUAUUCUGUUAAAUACACUUCACCAUGUUUCUCUAACACUAACAUGUGUCUCUAGUCUGUCUACAAACCCCCCAAUGAUGAGAAAAGUCCAUCCUCUCCAUCUUUUGCCUGCUCCACUUUUCAGAAAAUGUGUGCUCAAACAGGCCGUUUAGAGAUUUUCCCUUCAUGACAUCACAAAGGGCAGUAGCCCCUCCCCCAGGUGGGUGACACUCCCACAGCUAGGUGUUUGUUCUGCCCUCUGAGUCUGCCUUCUCACCGUAAACAAUAGAGCAGGUAGCGAGAAAGCCCGAGUACACCCAAGCCCUUCCAGAGAGGGGGCGUGGUCAAACACAGCUCAUUUACAUAUUUAAAGGUACAGACACAGAAACAGCCUGUUCUGAGCAGGGCUGAAAUAAAGGGGUUUAUAGUCAUGAUCAAAUACAGGAUCAGAGUGGAUUUAGAACAAGAAACUUCACAGACAUGUUUUGUGCAGCUCUGAGACUUAUUUAAACUGAAGAGGAGGAGAAUAUGUGACCUUUAAACCAUGAAGAUUGCCAGUGCUAGUGAUGACUUUUGUUCUCAUAUCUGUGCUGUAUCGCUGACCAUCUACUAUUUGUAAUGAUGUAAAGUUUUCAAUAAAUUCGCAAAUUAAUCUAUUGUUCAUUUGUAUAAAUUUCUCUGUCAGAUCAAAUUAGCAGUAACCCCCCCAUUGAUAGAAAAAUGUACAAUGAGGUAUCUUAAAACAUGAAUUAUAAUAAUCUAAAAACAUCAUAACACAAUACUAAUCAGAAAGCUACGAAGCCCCUAAAGGGACAUAGGCAGAAAAAAUAAAAAUAUAUGUUUCUCGUGCGCACCAGAAACUAACCGGUGCUCACGUGAAAGUUUUUUGUGUGCACCAGAUAUCAGGUGCACAACGGAAACCAGCCAGUCUUAGUCUUAGCUUAGACAGUACAGGACUUAUUUGAGCUAUAUUUUAACCAUGGACUUAAUUACAAGGACAGAACUGCUUUGCUUGUGCACCGUCACCGUUAUAUUGUCUCAGAAAGACAUUUAAAACGGAUGUUAAAGUCUUGUCAUCUGUUUUGGCGCAAGGGAUACACUGAGAAAUAUAUUCACAGAUUCAGCUAUCCCGGAUCAAUAACUCAUCAGCGGAACAUUGCUCUUACAAAACCGACACCUCUCUGCAAUCACAACAAGAUAGACUGCGAGCUACAUUGGUAUUUUCCUCAAAACGAGCCGUCCUCCGCGCUGGGGAACUUGCAUUGGCCUCUAAGCAGAGCCGGCUGGUGCUCGAAUGCGCAGGGACCGUCUGCAAAUUGCAAUACCGAAAAUAUAUGACACAGAAAUAUUCAAUAACUUCACCCAGGAGAGGUGUAGUGUCAUGAAAAUCAUUUUACACAUAUGUGAUCUCACGUUUUUCAUACUACAUUUCUCAGAUUGGAAAAUAAUACUUUAAAAACAAAUUGAGGAUUUUUCAAUAGCCUAUAAAUAACCCAAUGUUCAAUAAAAUCCCUUUUGUAAGGUGUAGGGUAAAACAAAAACCCAUUAUGAAUAAAUGUCCUCCUGCUCUAUGAACUACAUCUCAUUGCUUUGGAUAAAGGGCUUUCAUGUAAUUUUAGUGAUUUUUUAUCAUUAAAUUUGGUAAUAAAAUAUGUAAUAACUAUACUAUAACAUGUUGUAGUGCCAUCAAACUCACAGCACACAUAAUAUAAAAGCGUUAAGCAUGAUUUACUUUAUGUGUGAUGAAAUAUUUCAGUGACCCGAGAGCCUACAAUGGUGACUUUUUUUUAAUGAUAUCCAUGUUAAAAAAUCCCUUAAAUUAUUAUUGCCUUUGUUGUUUCUAUCCACUCUGGGCUUUCUGUGUGUGUGUGUGUGUGUGUGUGUGUGUGUGUGUGUGUGUGUGUGUGUGUGACAUCUCUAUAGUGGUGUUUAUGAGUAGGGUCCUGCUGUUGCUGUAGUUUUGGAAGUGGAGCAACAUUUUA